UACGUAGGGGGCUAGCGUUGUCCGGAUUUAUUGGGCGUAAAGAGCGUGUAGGCGGCCAGGUAGGUCUGCUGUGAAAACUCGGGGCUCAACCUCGAGACGUCGGUGGAAACCAUCUGGCUAGAGUCCGGAAGAGGAGAGUGGAAUUCCUGGUGUAGCGGUGAAAUGCGCAGAUAUCAGGAAGAACACCCGUGGCGAAGGCGGCUCUCUGGGACGGUACUGACGCUGAGACGCGAAAGCGUGGGGAGCGAACAGG
rnacentral:rRNA from 1 species